UGGAUAGAACUCAAUUGAGAAUAAUUUAUCAUGUAUGAUAUAAUAUGAGGAUCGCCAAAAAAUGUAUCGUGUGAUUUUAGGCAUGACGAACACAUACCAAUCUCUAUUGGUCUAAGUAAAGAUCAAGUAGAUUGAGAUCAAGAAAAACUUAUGGUACUUGAAAAGGUACAUAGGAUUAGUUUUUUUAUUCAAGGAAAUGAAGAUAUGCUAAAUAUUGAUGUUACACGCAUAAACACUGGCAAAGAAUCAAGAAAUAUCUCUUUGGAGUUAACCAUUGGUAAGGAUGAGCUACGAUGCAUCGUGUUUUGAAAUGGCAACAUGGAUUGAAGGCCAUGAGUUGUUGCAUGGGAAAUUAAAUAUUAAUUUCUAUGUUCUAAGAUACAGAUGGAAAGUCAUCCACAUAUCUAUGAACUGCUUGGAUAAGCAAAUCCAAACAAAGCAUCACUAGCAACCUAUACAGUUGAAGUUAAAGUACUUAUUGCCUAAGAAGCAAUAAAACUAAGCUAUUUAUUUUAAAGAGUUCUUCACUGAACCCUGGGUGGAUCACAUGUCUGCUGACUUGAUGGUUCUUCAUUGCAAAAUGCGUAGAACCACUAUUGAAGCGAGAAAGACUAGAUCACAUAAUAAAACUCAAAAGAUCUUAUCAUCCUAUAUCGAAAGUGUAACAGCCCUGAUUUUUAGCAGCUUUCAAUUUGGUGUUAAAGUAUAUUUACUAGCUAAAUUUCAUUCUUAAACCACUCUUAAAAUAAAUUAAAGAAUUGGGAUUUUAAGUUUUUUAUUCUAAAAUAAUUUACUUAACAUUUCUAUUUUAAAUCGAAUUAACAAUUUGUUUUAACAAUUUACUUUCCUGAAUGAAUAAAAGUUUUAAAAUUUAAAAAAAAUUGGUAUGGAAUUUUUAAUUUAUUUUAUUUUAUUUAAGUGAUUAUGAUUAUUUAUAUUUUAGCUUAAAGAAAAAAGAGGAAAUAAAGUAAGUUGCUAAUAAAAUCAUGCCAAAUUAUUCCUUCCUAUUUUUAAAAUGUGUCAUCUAUAGUAAAAGUCAGCAUCUCCUUUGUGAAAAGGAAUCACUCUAGAAAAAUCUGGAGACCCUUAUUCCUCUUAUUUUCUCAGUCUCACUCCACUCCUUGUCUUCAUUUUCGGCUCUCCAUACACGACCUUCCUCUCCUCAUUACUUUGGUCUUCGACCUCUCUCUCUUCCUCACUCCACCGCCGCUCCGCGCAGCACUGCACCGAGCCCCUGCUCCUCCGCGUCUUCUUUACACCGGUCAUCGCCUUUGUUGUUGUUAUUGCUGACUCUGAUUCUCUCUCCUUGGUCCUCUCGCAUAUCUUGCCGCCGCCGACGGUGGUCACGAAUCCACCAUCAACAUCACUCCAUUAUCAAUUGGUAAUAUAUCUAACCCUUUCCCUUGGUGAUUGGAUUAAUUUAAAACCCCAAUUUGCAAACCCUAACUCAAUUAAUUUUCUCUCUCAUCUACUGUGGUGGUGCUGCCCUCUUCACCGCUGUUGGUGAUGAUGUUGAUCUUACCCAUUGGUGUUUUCCACUCCCUGCUCCUCUCCUCGGUCUCUAUUUUUCCUCUUGGUCCUCGACCACCUCUGGUCUCGAGCGCCGCCCAACUCUGGGUCGCCGGGGUUGUUGCUAGCAAUGUUGUGGUUGUUGUUGAUUCUUGUCGUUGAUGCUUGUCGUUGUUGUCUUCCUUCCUGCCUCUCCAAUUUACUUGAGGGUAUAAUUCCAAAUUCAAUGAAAUUUCAUCUAUUUUAGUUAUCCUAAUUCAAUUGUAAAGCUUUAUGGAAAUAAUUUCUUAUUGACUUAUUAUUUUGAUUUCAUUAAAAUGAUUUUUGGUUAUGGAAUUAAGUAGGUAUUUGAUAUAAUAUUUGGGAAAUUCAGAUUAAUGUUUCGUGAUACAAAGAAGGGUUCUUAAGAAGAUAUGUUUGAGUUUUCCAAAAUUAAUUUAUUUAAUCAAAUAAGUAUUUCAAUUAUGAUUUUAAUCUUAAUCCAUGUCGAGCAAUCUAUGACAUACUAAUUAUGGAAUUAAGUUUUCGAAAAUCGUUGAAGGUUUCAAAAAGAAUUCAAUUAAGGUCAUGGGUAAAUUAGAAUGAAAUUCCAAAAGGUUAAUUUGGAAGAUUUCAAAGAGAAAUUGACUUAGUUUAGUUCGAUUUAGAUGAAUGAGUAUUAAUUCAUGUCUUUUGUGUUGGAGGUAAAUUGUUGCAAGGUGAAUAAAGAGAAUAAAGUUAUGGAGUAAAGUGGAGAGAGAUGAUUAAAUAUGUAUCUCUUGGAGUUCAUAUGCAUCGGUAAUUCAAGUGUUAACAAGUUUUGCAGGAAGCAAAGAUCCAGUCUAGUUCAAGGUUCAAGGUGCCUAAAGUUCUCCAAAGGUCUCAUUUGGCUCAAGGAGAGGUUAUGAAUUCACUAAGGUGUAAUUAAGUCAUUGCAGAACUUAUUGUGGCUUGUAUUAUUCCUUAUAAGAGGUUUCUAGUUCAUAAUUUAUGGAUUCUUAAUCCUUGUCAAGUUCGAAAUUAAGUUAGACAGUAUUUUGAGUUAAGUUGUUCAAUUCAAGGUUAAGUGUGCUAGCUUAUUAAGUGAGGGUUGUUGCAGUGACACCCUGGUGGUGUUUUGGAAUAUGUUAUAUGUUGGAAUGAUGUAAUUGAAGUAGGUGAAAAAAGUUAUGACGUAAUUUCCUAA